GUGGGGAAUAUUGGACAAUGGGCGAAAGCCUGAUCCAGCCAUGCCGCGUGAGUGAUGAAGGCCUUAGGGUUGUAAAGCUCUUUCAGUAGGGAAGAUAAUGACGGUACCUACAGAAGAAGCCCCGGCUAACUUCGUGCCAGCAGCCGCGGUAAUACGAAGGGGGCUAGCGUUGUUCGGCUUUACUGGGCGUAAAGCGCACGUAGGCGGAUUGGUCAGUUAGAGGUGAAAUCAUGGAGCUCAACUCCAGAACUGCCUUUAAUACUGCCAGUCUAGAGUCCAGAAGAGGUGAGUGGAACUCCUAGUGUAGAGGUGGAAUUCGUAGAUAUUAGGAAGAACACCAGUGGCGAAGGCGGCUCACUGGUCUGGUACUGACGCUGAGGUGCGAAAGCGUGGGGAGCAAACAGGAUUAGAAACCCUGGUAGUCC
rnacentral:rRNA from 1 species